GGAAUCUUGCGCAAUGGGCGAAAGCCUGACGCAGCGACGCCGCGUGAGGGAAGAAGGCCUUCGGGUUGUAAACCUCUUUCAGGAGGGACGAAACUACUCGGGUGAAUAGCCCAGAGGGUGACGGUACCUCCAGAAGACGCCCCGCCUAACUACGUGCCAGCAGCCGCGGUAAUACGUAGGGGGACAGCGUUGUCCGGAUUUACUGGGCGUAAAGAGCGUGUAGGCGGCCAAGCAGGUCUGUUGUGAAAACUGGAGGCUCAACUUCCAGACGUCGACGGAAACCGCUUGGCUAGAGUCCGGAAGAGGAGAGUGGAAUUCCUGGUGUAGCGGUGAAAUGCGCAGAUAUCAGGAAGAACACCGAUGGCGAAGGCAGCUCUCUGGGACGGUACUGACGCUGAGACGCGAAAGCGUGGGGAGCGA
rnacentral:rRNA from 1 species